AUGUAAAAAAUGUAUAAAGCUAGGCAUAAAUAUUUGUAGGAAGUGUAAUAGAGCAACAUAAAUAAGUUUAAAACCACAAACAUUGAAGGAGCUCAUGAUCCACUCAGCAGCAGUCGCGUGCAUUGAUAUUUGUGGUUAUGGCCAGGGCAUAUCAAAUUUAAAGAUCCAUAGCACGAGCCAGAAUUAAAAAAGGCGGUAAUCACACACUAAGAAUUGAAUAAAAGGAACUUGGAGAUGGAAACUUGUUUAGAUUUCCGAAAAACGAAAGGGUGGACCUGAGAGUAAGAAGCGAUGUCCCCAACACCAAAACGAACCACACAUUUAGAACUGCGGACCACUCUUGAAUAUAUUUUUGCCAAUAUCGGAGAAAAGAUCCAUUAUGCAAAUGGAAAGAAGUGCCAAAAAGGGGCAUGUAUUGAGAAGUUCUAUAGAUUUUCGGGAGAAACACGUAAAGGUCGAGUAGACAAAGAAUGGUUAGGAUUACCCAAGGAAUGGACUUAAGGUUGGUAGCUACCGGAAAUAAUAUUUUUAGGAAUUGAUUAACAAAGAAAAACUUGAUGAUGAUAAUGAAGAUAUUUUCUGCAAAGCUAUUAACCUGUCCAUAAGGUGCUAAUUAAAUUGUUUACUGUGAAAAUAUUUAUAAAUAAAACAGAUAUGUGGUUCGUCAUGUAGCCAAAUGCAGAGGGGGAA